rnacentral:rRNA from 1 species
GACGAACGCUGGCGGCGUGCCUAAUACAUGCAAGUUGAGCGAUGAAGGUUGGUGCUUGCACCCAUUUGAAGAGCAGCGAACGGGUGAGUAACGCGUGGGGAAUCUGCCUUUGAGCGGGGGACAACAUUUGGAAACGAAUGCUAAUACCGCAUAACAACUUUAAACAUAAGUUUUAAGUUUGAAAGAUGCAAUUGCAUCACUCAAAGAUGAUCCCGCGUUGUAUUAGCUAGUUGGUGAGGUAAAGGCUCACCAAGGCGAUGAUACAUAGCCGACCUGAGAGGGUGGUCUGCCACAAUGGGACUGGGACAAGGCCCAAGCUCCUUCAGGGAGGAACAGUAGGGAAACUUCGGCAAGAGGCGGAAAUCUGGACGAACCACGCCGGGGGAGUGGAGAAGGGUUUCGGGUCGGUAAAGUCUGUUGGUAGGGGAGAAAGUUAGUGAAGUUAAAAAGCUCAUCAAGUGACGUUAACUGCAGAAGAAGCAACGGCUAACUACGUG